GAGACAGUUCGGUCCCUAUCCGUCGUGGGCGUAGGAAAUUUGAGAGGAGCUGUCCUUAGUACGAGAGGACCGGGAUGGACGCACCGCUGGUGUACCAGUUGUUCUGCCAAGGGCAUAGCUGGGUAGCUAUGUGCGGAAGGGAUAAGUGCUGAAAGCAUCUAAGCAUGAAGCCCCCCUCAAGAUGAGAUUUCCCAUAGCGUAAGCUAGUAAGAUCCCUGAAAGAUGAUCAGGUUGAUAGGUUCGAGGUGGAAGCAUGGUGACAUGUGGAGCU
rnacentral:rRNA from 1 species